CGCCUCCGGCCGGGCGGGGAGAGCGGGGCGAGGCGGGGCCCGCCGGCCGCCCCGCCCCAUCCUCGGGGAUGCCGGGAUGUUUACGGGCCUGACAGGAACGACGGGGGGCGGAGAGCAGGUCGGGGCCGCCGUCGGUGCCCGCGCCGCCCGCCAGGAGCCCCGCUAGGCGCCCGCCGCCGGCGCGGCCCCGGACUCGAGGCGCCGGAGAAGCCGGGGAGGAGCGGCGGCCGGUCGCGCUCUCCCGCACCAGGAGCAGGCGGAGCCAGGCUGGCCGGACAUAAGGGACAUUGGUGCGUGAUAGAAUGGAUGAACAGUCACAAGGGAUGCAGGGGCCUACUGCUCCACCAUUUCAGCCACAGAAAGCCUUACGACCUGACAUGGGCUACAACACACUUGCCAAUUUCCGAAUAGAGAAGAAGAUUGGCCGUGGGCAGUUCAGUGAAGUUUACAGAGCAACCUGCCUGCUGGAUGGGGUACCAGUGGCUCUGAAGAAGGUUCAGAUAUUUGAUUUAAUGGAUGCCAAAGCCCGUGCUGACUGCAUCAAAGAAAUAGAUCUUCUUAAGCAACUGAAUCAUCCAAAUGUAAUCAAAUAUUAUGCCUCAUUCAUUGAAGACAAUGAACUGAACAUAGUGUUGGAAUUAGCAGAUGCUGGAGAUCUCUCUAGAAUGAUAAAGCAUUUUAAGAAACAGAAGAGGUUGAUUCCUGAAAGAACAGUGUGGAAGUACUUUGUUCAGCUUUGCAGUGCCUUGGAACAUAUGCACUCUCGUCGUGUUAUGCAUAGAGAUAUUAAGCCAGCAAAUGUGUUCAUUACAGCUACAGGAGUAGUAAAGCUGGGAGACCUUGGACUUGGUCGAUUUUUCAGCUCCAAAACCACAGCAGCACAUUCUUUAGUUGGUACACCUUAUUAUAUGUCUCCAGAGAGAAUACAUGAAAAUGGUUACAACUUCAAGUCUGACAUCUGGUCUCUAGGCUGUUUGCUGUAUGAGCUUGCAUUUUUAACAUUCUUUUUAAGAUGGCUGCACUGCAGAGUCCCUUUUAUGGUGAUAAAAUGAACUUGUACUCUCUGUGCAAGAAGAUAGAACAGUGUGACUACCCACCUCUCCCUUCAGAUCACUAUUCAGAGGAACUGCGACAAUUAGUGAAUAUGUGCAUCAACCCGGAUCCGGAGAAGCGCCCAGACAUCGCCUACGUGUACGAUGUAGCGAAACGCAUGCACGCACACACCGCCAGCAGCUGAGCACCAGCACAGCCCGGGCAGGAGCAGCAGAACCCAGUGCCCACCUCUCCGUGUGCCUCACACAAAUGGAAUUGUUGGAAGCUUACUGUUGUGCUUGGAAUUGUAAGCCAGUUUAUGUACAAGCUUUGUUGUUUUCUGUUUCUUUCUGGGUUUUGUGUUUUUUGCUAACUUGCAGCCGUACAACAGGUUGAAAUAUGUAAAGCGGAAUUUUGAGACGCCGUGAACCACUGUUUCCAUGUUAGUGGGUUCAAGUAUACUUUCUGUAAUGACAAAAUUGUAUUCAGUUGGGCCUCAGUUCUAAAACACAGUUGCACUUUUGCACAUGAUACAGAUAUUAGGCUUAUUAUCGAGAAGCAAAAUGUCUGAAUCUCUCACCUUUUUAGUAAUUUAUGGAAAGUAUGAAUCAGCACAGUUAACUUUAUUUUAAUCCUUGUUCCAAGAGGAACAGAAUUAUUACAGGAUCUUAUUGUAUUUUAUAUUGAAUUGUACUUUGCAGUUCUUUCUGUAAGACUAGACAAGGAAUAGAAUUAGUUCUCUGCUUGCCAAAUGCAAUGGAAAAAUAAUUUCAGGAAAAACUGUCACGCUGAAAUUUUUGUAACAUCCCCUUUUGUUUUGUUAGUCUCUCAUAACACACAAAACAUUUCUUGAAGGUUUUCUGGGAAAAUUUAAGGUAUUGAUUCAGCAAUCUGGUUUUCACUGGACUUGUGCAGCGUUGCCCUGGGGCAAUGGGAGUCUGCAUAGUUCAGUGUUAAAAACAUGCAGAUGCUUCUUGUAGCCAAUAGGGUUCUUUUAUGGCUGUCCUUUGAGCAGGUCUGAUUAAAAGAUGUGAUCUUUAAGUUACAACUUCCCAACUGUUUGUGUAUAUGUUUCUGUAGAUUUUUGUGUUUAAAAUAAUUUGAGUGACCUUACAGUAUAUUUAAAUUUUAAUCUUUUUUUUCUAAAUCCUGAAUUUUUUUGGCAAAGAUAUAAUAGUCUAGUAUGGCACAGAAUGUAUUCUACAUAAAUAUAUGAUUAUUGUAUACUGUAUCCCUGAGACUUAGUUUUAUAUUUAGCAGAAGUAAAUUAUAGCUUUUAUGUUUAAGAGGAAGUUGCCACGCCUUAAUUUGGGCAACAAUUAUAUAUGCAAACUGUCUUACAGAUACUUUAUUAGUUUAAAAGGAAAUGCUGAAUAUUUUUGUUAGACCUUAGUGCCUUUUGGGGUAUGCGUAUAUAAUAUUUUCAUUGUUAAGGAAGGAAUGUGUCUUGUUUUUAAAUUUGGUAAAAUGGAGAGUGAAAUGAAAUUCCUUGAGUUUCAAGACUGAACUUUUUUUACAGAACUGUCUAAAGGUAAUUAUAAUCAGUGAUAGCAGCUAACGAGCUGUUACUGUCAGUUAAGUCUUUAUGUGGGUAAAGAGUUCAAAUAAAAGCAGCACUAUGUACAUACACAUAUAGGUUCUAGAUGCAGUCACAUCCCUGCAUGCUCAGAUUAUGUUUUGCUUGUUUAUUUCUCUGCAGCUGUAAUUUUUAUUUGGUAUAAUGCUCAAAAAAAUUGUGGAGUUUGUAUUCAAGGGAGGGUCAGGGUUGGUUUUGGUUUUGUAUUUUUUAAAACUACAAAUACUAUGAAAAUUAUGUUUGGGAAAAAGAAAGGGAGUUUUUAGAUGGUAUGUACCAGAUCAUCAGCUUAUCUUAAUCCAUAAUUUUUUAUUUUUUGCUUCCAGGUUUUGUAGGACAAAUUGUAUGAAACUGUAGUAUUAUUUCUCACUUCUGUGUGCACUUAACCUUAUAGAACUUCAGUGGAGAAGUUUGUUGGAAAGAGGUAUUUGAGAAACUUUGGUCUGUAUUUAGCAACCUCUAGAUUUGUUUUCAUUAAUUAAAUGGUUUUAUAAUUUAAAACAUGAUGGUUAUGUUCUGUAACAAUGUUUCACAUGUCAUAGAAUGAAAUGCUCUGUAUUGGAAAAGUCAGCACAAUACUUGUUUGACUGCCAGAAUUAGUUCUUAGUAUGCACAAGUACUCAAUUUUUUUUUUUUCUGAAAUGUGCUAGAACAUUUAAAAAUCACCGAAAAAGCUAAAUGCAAUGCAGGCUAUUUGUAUCUAAUAUUAUGCAUAAAGUGUUGAACUUUUCCUGCCAGAAACUGCUGAUAGAUAUCCCUCCCCUGGAAGGGUAUGUUGAGUAAGAGAAUCAUGAGUUAAGAGUUAGCAAAUACGCCUUCUUAAACAUUUAAAUUUUUUUAGCAGUGUGGGAUUUUUUUAGUAGUUAUGAUGAAAUACUGUGCUGAGGAAAAGAAAUAGUUGUCCCUGACUUAAAAUCUGUGAAAUGAAUGGUGCACCUGGCUCUAGUACCAAACUCAGUAAUAAAAGACAAUGUGGGUUAAUAGAACUGCUUACACAGGUGGGGAUUGUAGAAUCUCUCCCUAAAGUACCUGGUAACAUAUGAGAAUUAUAAGUUUUGUUAUAUCACUCCAACAAUGUAUGCUAUGUGCUUAUAAAAUAUUUUCUUUUCUAAACCACCAUCCUGUUUUUCAUAUGUUGAUUAUAACAUCUGGCACUAUUUAUUUUAAGUUGUGGCAUUAUGUGUUUAUUUUCUUUAAAGAAAACAUGUUACAUUUCUACCCAAAAUGUCUGACCAGCUCCUCCUUUUAUUUCAGUAAUGCUCCAGUAUUAACUUGUGUCAGGAGUGAACUUUGUGCUUUGAAUGACAUUGCAUAAAUUCCCUUUGUGUCAAAAGCUCCUCUGCAGUGCAGUAGUCCAAUAGAAAUAAAACAUACAAAUAUUAAAUGUAAUGUAAAAACUA